AGUGAACGCUGGCGGUAGGCCUAACACAUGCAAGCCGAACGGCAGCACAGUUAGAGCUUUCUCUUACGGGUUGCGAGUGGCGGACGUGUGAGGAAUACAUCGUAAUCUACUCAUUCGUGGGGGUUAACGUAGGGGAAAUUACGCUAAUAUAGCAUCCUACCUACGGGUGAAAGCAUGGUUACAUCGGACGUUGCCCCAGUGAGUGAUCCGGUGGCGUAUGAGGUAGUCGGCGGGGGAGAGGACCACCAAGGCGACGAUCCGUAGCUGUUCUGAGAGGGUGAUCAGCCACACUGGAACUGGGACACGGUUCAGACUCCUACGGGAGGCAGAAGUAGGGGAUAUUGGACAAUGAGCACGAGCGUAAUCCAGACAUACCGCGUGGGUGAAGAAGGACUUCGGGUUGUAAAGCCCUUUUGUUGGGAAAGAAAAGCAACAAGUUAAUACCGCGCUGUUCUGACGGUACCCAAAGAAUAAGCAACGGCUAACUUCGUG
rnacentral:rRNA from 1 species